GUCAGGAGGGCGGAGCCUUGUUCCUUUCACCCAAUCAAGAGUAGCCCUUCCCUUCUGCCCCGCCCCAUUCUGGUAGCGCCUCUGCAAAUACUAUGCGCUCAUUGGUAAAUGCCAUUCCUUGACUGACAUCUCACUGUUUCUAACCGAAACCUUGAGUCUGUUCGUGUCUUGACUGGAGCGAGAUCGCGCCGAACCAAUGAACUCGCUCCCUCAGAACUAGGACAACUUCACCCGUCUUUUUUCAACAAGAGAGGCUGGGGCGGUCGUGGGGCGGAGCGUCUUCUUGACGGACAGUCUCUCCUUCCAAUCGUAACGUCGCGCGCAGUCCAGUCAGCCUAUGGGACUCGGGUGCUGAAGCAAGAGGCGGGGCUCUGCUUGUAGGACUGACUCUUGGGAGUCUGAACCGCGCCAGCCUGUGCGGGAAGGGGCACUGCGGAGGCAAAGAUGCACUUUUUCACUUACUGAAGACAGUCUUGAUACCAUGUUGUGCUGACGAGCGUAAUAGAGAAGUGAGUGGGGAGAGGACUCGCAGACUGGAAGAAUAUGAAAAAUGGCACCUCUGUUUUCUUCCUUAACUUAAAAAUGAAAACGUACUUUCUGCGAGUAUAGGAAAUGACAGGAAUGUGUGCGGAGCCACCCAGCAUGACUCAACAAGCAUCCCACCAUUUCCACACCACGUGAUCCCGGACAGCUCCCACCACCAUCCAGGCUGGCUCCUUCCCUGCGGGAUGGAAAUGACGGCGUCUACUUCACUAGACAAGGAUGUGUGAGUGGAAGGUUGUGAAGAAUAAGAUGGAUCUUGCCUGAGAAAGUGUCUGCUUCUAGAGGUGGUUGCAAUGCUUAGCUCAUGGCGCCUGGUCAGUCACUGCACUGCCCAGACCCUGCUUCUGACGAGACACCCUCCUCUCUCUUGCCUCCUUGUGUCCUCCAGAAGGAUCACCGUGAUUUCAUGGGUGAGACUCUUCAUUAACCUGGAUCAAGCAACAUAAAUCCUCCGAACCUUCGUUUCUUCAUCUCAAAAUGAGUAGCGAAAUGUGCCUCGCUGGGAAUGUUAGAUUGUUGCAAGGAUCAAAGCAAAAAGAAAAAGUGGCAUACAGCCAUGCUACCCUGAACAUACUUGGUCUCAGAUGGUAGGCAAGGGUCACGCUGGCUAGCGUUUAGAUGGGAGAUCAACUGGGAACACUAGUUGCUAUAGGAUUAAACUUAAAAAGUUUAACAAUAUUUAAAUUCUUUACAUCUACUAAAUGUUUGUUGAGUGUUACGUUUAUGCUUUAAAAAUAGGAAUUAAUAUUAGUAUAUCUAA